rnacentral:lncRNA from 1 species
CACAAAGCAGGCAUUCGGGCUCCUCGCACCUACCCCAGCAACUCAAAUUCACCACCUCGGACUCCUGCGACCGCAUCAAAGACGAAUUUCAGCUACUGCAAGCUCAGUACCACAGCCUCAAGCUCGAAUGUGACAAGUUGGCCAGUGAGAAGUCAGAGAUGCAGCGUCACUAUGUGAUGUACUACGAGAUGUCCUACGGCUUGAACAUCGAGAUGCACAAACAGUCUGCCUGGGCCACAGCCCUCUCACCCUGGUACUGCAUGCACGCAAUGCUA